AAGUGCGAUCAUACCAGGACUAAUGCACCGGAUCCCAUCGCAACUCCGUAGUGAAGCGUGCUUGGGCGAGAGUAGAAAUAGGAUGGGUGACCUCCUGGGAAGUCCUCGUGUUGCACCUC
rnacentral:rRNA from 2 species